UACGGGGGGGGGCAAGCGUUGUUCGGAAUCACUGGGCGUAAAGGGCGCGUAGGCGGCCGCUCAAGUCGGGGGUGAAAGCCUGUGGCUUAACCACAGAAUUGCCUUCGAUACUGUUUGGCUUGAGACCGGAAGAGGUUAGUGGAACUGCGAGUGUAGAGGUGAAAUUCGUAGAUAUUCGCAAGAACACCAGUGGCGAAGGCGGCUGACUGGUCCGGUUCUGACGCUGAGGCGCGAAAGCGUGGGGAGCAAACAGG
rnacentral:rRNA from 1 species